GAGAAGGUACCCCAAAACGGGCUUGUUCUC
rnacentral:piRNA from 1 species